AUUGAACGCUGGCGGCAGGCUUAACACAUGCAAGUCGAACGGUAACAUAAAGAAGCUUGCUUCUUUGAUGACGAGUGGCGGACGGGUGAGUAAUGCUUGGGAAUCUAGCUUAUGGAGGGGGAUAACUACGGGAAACUGUAGCUAAUACCGCGUAAUAUCGAAAGAUUAAAGUGUGGGACCUUCGGGCCACAUGCCAUAGGAUGAGCCCAAGUGGGAUUAGGUAGUUGGUGAGGUAAGGGCUCACCAAGCCGACGAUCUCUAGCUGGUCUGAGAGGAUGACCAGCCACACUGGGACUGAGACACGGCCCAGACUCCUACGGGAGGCAGCAGUGGGGAAUAUUGCGCAAUGGGGGCAACCCUGACGCAGCCAUGCCGCGUGAAUGAAGAAGGCCUUCGGGUUGUAAAGUUCUUUCGGUAGCGAGGAAGGCAUUUAGUUUAAUAGACUAGGGGAUUGACGUAACUACA
rnacentral:rRNA from 1 species